UGCUGUUUUUACUAGGCCGCAUCACUUACAGUGAAAUGACAUCUUUCCACUUUUUUGGUUUGUUAUCCCCACAAAGAUUCAAGUUUUUUUUAAAGUAUUUUAACGUAUUGGCGCACAGGUGUAUCAAAUUACAAGGACAACCUUUAAAAAUUAUUUAUGAGGUUUGUUGGUGUUUGAAAAUUUUCGGGUACGAUUGAUUUUUACUUACAUGUUGAUGAGGUAAGCGUGUGACGGGUAUACAUACUUUUUUUAUUUAAAUAAAGAAAGUUAUAUUAGUUAAUUCUAGUCUGUUGUAUGUCAUAUCAAAUAUCUUCUUGAAGUAUAUAACAAAGUGAUUAUAACAUGACCUUGAUCAAUCCUCAGCAAAGCUCCCGGAAUUAUAUUAUUGUGUUGGGUUGAUACAGAUGUGAUAUUGCAAGCCCUAAUCAUUGAUGAUAAUCUCUAUUGUUUCUUUGAAAGCCAGAAAAAAUGACAUAACACAUAGCUUAUGUCGCAAUAUUGUGUGUUAAUGCUGGACAAACCAAUCAAAAUAAUGAGGGUUAUUUCAAUUUCAAUAGUUAAACAUUGACACGCUAAGAAAGAGGUGAGGGGGGAAACAAAAAGGGUAUAAGUAAAGAAAAACGCCGUGUCAAAACAUCUAAUAAUGUUAAAAGACAAAUUCCUCCGGAAAACAUCUAAUAAUGUUAAAAGACAAAUUCCUCCGGAAAACACUACAUUAUUUUAUACUAAAAAUGUGCAACACUUAUAUUGAUCUCUGCUGUUUCAUUAUAUGUUGUGUUCAUUU
rnacentral:lncRNA from 1 species